AUUUUAAUACGUGACGUGUCGAGCGGACAGAUGGGAGCUUGCUCCCUGAUGUUAGCGGCGGACGGGUGAGUAACACGUGGGUAACCUGCCUGUAAGACUGGUAUAACUCCGGGAAACCGGGGCUAAUACCGGAUGGUUGUUUGAACCGCAGGGUUCAAACAUAAAAGGUGGCUUCCGCUACCACUUACAGAUGGACCCGCGGCGCAUUAGCUAGUUGGAGAGGUAAUGUCUCACCAAGGCAACGAUGCGUAGCCGACCUGAGAGGGUGAUCGGCCACACUGGGACUGACACACGGCCCACACUCCUACGGGAGGCAGCAGUAGGGAAUCUUCCGCAAUGGACGAAAGUCUGACGGAACCACGCCGCGUGAGUGAUGAAGGUUUUCAGAUCAUAAAUCUCUGUUGUUAGGAAAAAACAAGUACCGUUCAAAUAGGGCGGUACCUUGACGGUACCUAACCAGAAAGCCACGGCUAACUACGUGCCAGCACCCGCGAUAAUACGUAGGUGGCAAGCGUUGUCCGGAAUUAUUGCGCGUAGAGGUCUCGCGCGCGGUUUCUUAUGUCUGAUGUGAAAGCCCCGCGGCUCAACCGGGAGAGGGUCAUUGAAAACUGGGGAACUUGAGUGCAAAAGAGGAGAGUGCAAUUCCACGUGUAGCGGUGAAAUGCAUAGAGAUGUGGAGGAACACCAGUGGCGAAGGCGACUCUCUGGUCUGUUACUGACGCUGAGGAGAGAAAGCGUGGAGAGCGAACAGGUAUUAUAUACCCUGGUACUCCACGCCGUAAACUAUGAGUGCUAAGUGUGGGGGUGUUUUCCGCCCCUUUAGUGCUGCAGCUAACCCCAUUACACACUCCGCCCGGCGGAGUACGGGCCGCGAGACUUUAUACUCAAAAGUUAUUGACGGCGGGCCCGCAACCCCCUGUGGACCAUGUUGUUUUUAUUUACAAUUGCUAACGCGAAAAAAUAAUAACGGGUCGUGGACUUCCUCUAAACUAUCAUAAGAAAUAGAGAGGUCCCCCUUCC
rnacentral:rRNA from 1 species